rnacentral:rRNA from 1 species
AGCCGGCCUGAGAGGGUGAACGGCCACAUUGGGACUGAGACACGGCCCAAACUCCUACGGAAGGCAGCAG